rnacentral:rRNA from 1 species
UACGUAGGGAGCAAGCGUUGUCCGGAAUCAUUGGGCGUAAAGCGCGCGUAGGUGGCCCCGUAAGUCCGUUGUGAAAGUCAAAGGCUCAACCUUUGAAAGCCGAUGGAUACUGUGGGGCUAGAGUACGGAAGAGGCGAGUGGAAUUCCUGGUGUAGCGGUGGAAUGCGCAGAUAUCAGGAGGAACACCAAUAGCGAAGGCAGCUCGCUGGGACGUUACUGACACUGAGGCGCGAAAGCGUGGGGAGCGAACAGG